UACGAAGGGGGCUAGCGUUGCUCGGAUUGACUGGGCGUAAAGGGCGCGUAGGCGGUUUGCACAGUCAGACGUGAAAUUCCUGGGCUCAACCUGGGGGCUGCGUUUGAUACGUGUAGACUUGAGUGCGGAAGAGGGUCGUGGAAUUCCCAGUGUAGAGGUGAAAUGCGUAGAUAUUGGGAGGAACACCAGUGGCGAAGGCGGCUCACUGGACCGGAACUGACGCUGAGGCGCGAAAGCGUGGGGAGCAAACAGG
rnacentral:rRNA from 1 species